CGCACACAGAGGCGAGAACACCUGUCUCGGGAACGAAAGGUGUGCUCACGCGUGCCGGCAAGAGACGACUAUAUGUAGAGUCGAGAGGCGAGAGUGAGAAGUGCUAUGCGCGCGCAGAGCACCGGCACGCCCGCCGCGCGUCCCGCUCGCUCACGAGCCCGCCUGAGAACCGUCAGUCUAUCGCGCGCAGAGGCAGCGCUUGUAUGUGCCGCCCUUUGCUCUAUCGCGACCGACACGGUGUCCGUAACUGGUGUUCGGAAAAUUGUGCAUGUGCGUUUUCCGACGAGAGCAGUGUGUGUGCUAGUGAGAUGUGCUGUUGUUUUCUAGGAUCGGUUUAUACGCAGAGCAUCAACUAGUACGAAUGAGAACAAAGUGCCAAGGUGCAUUAUUAUCAAGAAACAAUCACCUUUCGACGUAUAUAAAUUCGUAAAUUUAAUUUCGUAGGCUAUAAAUUUAGUAUAACAUAAAAACGCGCGUGCUCCAGCGGCGUUGUCGUCAAGUCGAUAUCGGUAAACAGUCGCGUCGCGCGCGGUUCCUUCUCCUGUCGCCGAAACUGUCAGUGCUUGCCGGAGUCGCGCGACUCGGCCGGCACGCCCCGACACAGCCGUGGAUAACCUCGGCCAGAGCCCCCUUCCGGUGAAGAGGCUGCACGAAGCGCUUCAGAGUGCACAAGUGAAGCGUCAGCGGCUCUCCCCUCCGUACCCCGCACCUCCCACACCCCUUCACCCGAUUCAUCAGCUCGCCGUGCACCAGCAUAUCAAAGUGCAGCAAAGCAUUGUGCAACAGAGCAUCGUGCAGCAGCAUCAGUUGAAUCUGGCCCAUCAGUCGCUGCAGAACUUGCAAGCACAGAGCUUGCAGGCAGCUCAGCAGAGCCUUCAAGCAGCACAGAGUCUGCAGACUCAGAGCCCGGUGGCGACGGGCGGCACAGGCACGCAGCAGGCGGCGGGAGCGACACAGGGCGCGCUGGUGCCACCGCAGCAGCCAUCGCCGCGGGCCGCUUCACCGCAACAUAAGAACAUGGAGCUCGCGCUGUGUCAGAGUAUGGACUCUGUCAAUACUGCAACCACUGAGGAAGAGGUAAGUUGGCUUAAUCAAAUGCAGCUUAUAGUUUU
rnacentral:misc_RNA from 1 species